AAUUGGAUAUGGGUAUUGUAGCUGACAGGUCUUGGGAGCUGAGUCAGGGUCAGGGAGACUGUGAUGGCAAUGAGAAGUCAACACACUGAGGAUAGGGAGAAAGAAGAUGAGUCUGGGAGAGAAAGAGAAUGAUUCUUCUGGCCGAGGGAAAGGAAGAAUAUCUGUUCCUGCAACUGCACUGAUUCUAGAAACACUCUCAAUUCAAACUCUCUUGAGCCAUGAUGUGCUUACUAUGUGGCAGGCACUGCUCUUGGUGCUGUGACAAAAACAGGACAUCUACAGCCUCUGUCUUCAUGGAUCUCAUAUUCUAUUGGGUGGAGAGAUGACAGAUUGAUGAUGUUCAUGGAUGCCUUUGAAAUUUUCCAAUAAUGAAAAAACUGAGGUAUAGAAUGAUACAACAGGGCCAGGCAUGGUGGCUCACAUCUGUAAUACCAGCACUUUGGGAGGCCAAGGGAGGAGGAUCAUUUGAACCCAGAUGUUUGAGACCAGCCUGAGCAAAACAGGAAGAACCCAUCUCUACAAAAAAAUUAUCUAGUGCUGACCUGCUUGUUGAAUGCUGGGAUCUCCAGAA
rnacentral:lncRNA from 1 species